GAUGAACGCUGGCGGCGUGCUUAACACAUGCAAGUCGAACGGAAAGGCUCCUGCUUGCAGGGGUACUCGAGUAGCGAACGGGUGAGUAACACGUGGGUGAUCUGCCCUGCACUUCGGGAUAAGCCUGGGAAACUGGGUCUAAUACCGGAUAGGACGAUGGUUUGGAUGCCAUUGUGGAAAGUUUUUUCGGUGUGGGAUGAGCUCGCGGCCUAUCAGCCUGUUGGUGGGGUAAUGGCCUACCAAGGCGUCGACGGGUAGCCGGCCUGAGAGGGUGUACGGCCACAUUGGGACUGAGAUACGGCCCAGACUCCUACGGGAGGCAGCAGUGGGGAAUAUUGCACAAUGGGCGCAAGCCUGAUGCAGCGACGCCGCGUGGGGGAUGACGGCCUUCGGGUUGUAAACUCCUUUCGCUAGGGACGAAGCGCAAGUGACGGUACCUGGAGAAGAAGCACCGGCUAACUACGUG
rnacentral:rRNA from 1 species